rnacentral:rRNA from 1 species
UAAUUUAUACUGCGAUGGGGGGACGGAGAAGGCUAGGACAGCAACCUAUUGGAUGGUUGUUUAAGCGUUUAGGUGGGAUUCUUAGGCAAAUCCGGGAAUCUACUAACACUGAGGCGUAAUGACGAGGUACUACGGUACUGAAGUGUUCGAUGCCAUGCUUCCAAGAAAAGCCUCUAAGCUUCAGGUAUAAAUUAACCGUACCCCAAACCGACACAGGUGGGCUGGAUGAGAAUUCCAAGGCGCUUGAGAGAACUCGGAUGAAGGAACUAGGCAAAAUGGUACCGUAACUUCGGGAGAAGGUACGCCCACGAAAGUGGGCCGCAGAGACCAGGCCGCUGCGACUGUUUAUCAAAAACACAGCACUCUGCAAACUCGAAAGAGGACGUAUAGGGUGUGACGCCUGCCCGGUGCCGGAAGGUUAAUUGAUGGGGUUAGCGCAAGCGAAGCUCUUGAUCGAAGCCCCGGUAAACGGCGGCCGUAACAAUAACGGUCCUAAGGUAGCGAAAUUCCUUGUCGGGUAAGUUCCGACCUGCACGAAUGGCGUAACGAUGGCGGCACUGUCUCCAUCCGAGACUCAGUGAAAUUGAAAUCGCUGUGAAGAUGCAGUGUACCCGCGGCUAGACGGAAAGACCCCGUGAACCUUUACUAUAGCUUUGUAUUGAACUUUGAACCUACUUGUGUAGGAUAGGUGGGAGACUAUGAAACUGGAACGCUAGUUCUGGUGGAGUCGUCCUUGAAAUACCACCCUGGUAUGUUCGGAGUUCUAACCCAGGCAUCACAAUGUCGGGGACAAUACAUGGUGGGUAGUUUGACUGGGGCGGUCUCCUCCUAAAGAGUAACGGAGGAGCGCGAAGGUGUGCUAAUCACGGUCGGAAAUCGUGAGGUUUGUGUAAAGGCAUAAGCACGCUUGACUGCGAGACAGACAAGUCGAGCAGGUACGAAAGUAGGUCUUAGUGAUCCGGUGGCUCUGAAUGGAAGGGCCAUCGCUCAACGGAUAAAAGGUACUCCGGGGAUAACAGGCUGAUUCCUCCCAAGAGUCCAUAUCGACGGGGGAGUUUGGCACCUCGAUGUCGGCUCAUCACAUCCUGGGGCUGAAGCAGGUCCCAAGGGUAUGGCUGUUCGCCAUUUAAAGUGGUACGCGAGCUGGGUUCAGAACGUCGUGAGACAGUUCGGUCCCUAUCUGCCGUGGGCGUUGGAGAUUUGAGGGAAGCUGACCUUAGUACGAGAGGACCGGGUUGGACGAACCUCUGGUGUUCCUGUUGUCACGCCAGUGGCAUUGCAGGGUAGCUAUGUUCGGACGGGAUAACCGCUGAAAGCAUCUAAGCGGGAAGCCCCUCCCAAGAUGAGAUCUCCCUGACCCCUUGAGGGUCCUAAAGGGCCGUUGGAGACUACGACGUUGAUAGGCUGGGUGUGGAAGUGCAGUAAUGUAUGUAGCUAACCAGUACUAAUUGCCCGUGAGGCUUGAUCCU